CCUACGGGAGACAGCAGUGAGGAAUAUUGGUCAAUGGGCGGGAGCCUGAACCAGCCAAGCCGCGUGAAGGAAGAAGGCGCCAGGCGUCGUAAACUUCUUUUGUCGGGGAACAAAGGGCGCCACGUGUGGCGUUGUGAGUGUACCCGAAGAAAAAGCAUCGGCUAACUCCGUGCCAGCAGUCGCGGUAAUACGGAGGAUGCGAGCGUUAUCCGGAUUUAUUGGGUUUAAAGGGUGCGUAGGCGGUCCGGAAAGUCAGCGGUAAAAGGCCGGGGCUCAACCCCGGCGAGCCGUUGAAACUGGCGGACUAGAGACGGCGAGAAGUACGCGGAAUGCGCGGUGUAGCGGUGAAAUGCAUAGAUAUCGCGCAGAACUCCGAUUGCGAAGGCAGCGUACCGGCGCCGGACUGACGCUGAGGCACGAAAGCGUGGGUAUCGAACAGGAUUAGAUACCCCUGUAGUC
rnacentral:rRNA from 1 species